CCUACGGGAGGCUGCAGUAGGGAAUCUUCCGCAAUGGGCGAAAGCCUGACGGAGCGACGCCGCGUGAGCGAAGAAGGCCUUCGGGUCGUAAAGCUCUGUUGUGAGGGACGAAGGAGCGCCGUUUGAAGAAGGCGGCGCGGUGACGGUACCUCACGAGAAAGCCCCGGCUAACUACGUGCCAGCAGCCGCGGUAAUACGUAGGGGGCGAGCGUUGUCCGGAAUUAUUGGGCGUAAAGCGCGCGCAGGCGGUCUCUUAAGUCUGAUGUGAAAGCCCA
rnacentral:rRNA from 1 species